AGUGAACGCUGGCGGUAGGCCUAACACAUGCAAGUCGAACGGCAGCACAGUAAGAGCUUGCUCUUACGGGUGGCGAGUGGCGGACGGGAGAGGAAUACAUCGUAAUCUACUUUUUCGUGGGGGUUAACGUAGGUAAACUUACGCUAAUACCGCAUACGACCUACGGGUGAAAGCAGUGGAUCUUUGGACCUGGCGCGAUUGAAUGAGCCGAUGUGGGGUUAGCUAGUUGGCGGGGUAAUGGCCCACCAAGGCGACGGUCCGUAGCUGGUCUGAGAGGAUGGUGAGGCACAGUGGAGCUGAGACACGGUACAGACACCUAGGGGAGGCCGAGGUGGGGAAUGUUGGAAAAUGGGCGGAAGACUGAUCCAGGGAUGCAGGGUGGGUGAAGAAGCCCUUCGGGUGGUAAAGCGGUUUUGUUGGGAAAGAACAGCAGCAGGUUAAACCCACGCUGUUCGGACGGUACCGAAAGAAUAAGCACCGGCUAACUUCGU
rnacentral:rRNA from 1 species